AGUGGGAUAGCUGGGUCAAAUGGUGGUUCCAGUCCAAGUUUUCUGAAGAAUCUCCAUAUUGUGUUCCAUAAUGGUUGCACCAAUUUGCCAUUCCACCAGCAAU
rnacentral:pre_miRNA from 1 species